rnacentral:rRNA from 1 species
UACAGAGGUCUCGAGCGUUGUUCGGAUUCAUUGGGCGUAAAGGGUGCGUAGGCGGCGAAGUAAGUCGGAUGUGAAAUCCCGGGGCUCAACCCCGGAACUGCAUUCGAUACUGCUUUGCUUGAGGACUGGAGAGGAGACUGGAAUUCACGGUGUAGCAGUGAUAUGCGUAGAUAUCGUGAGGAAGACCGGUGGCGAAGGCGGGUCUCUGGACAGUUCCUGACGCUGAGGCACGAAGGCCAGGGGAGCAAACGGG